CAGAGUGACAGGUGGUGCCAUGGUUGUCGUCAGCUUGUGUCGUGAAGAUGUUGGGUUAAGUCCCGCAACGAGCGCAACCCUUGAUUUUAGUUGCCAGCAUUCAGUUGGGCACUCUAAGGUGACUGCCGGUGACAAACCGGAGGAAGGUGGGGAUGACGUCAAAUCAUCAUGCCCCUUAUGACCUGGGCUACACACGUGCUACAAUGGGCAGAACAAAGGGCAGCGAAGCCGCGAGGCUAAGCCAAUCCCACAAAUCUGUUCUCAGUUCGGAUCGCAGUCUGCAACUCGACUGCGUGAAGCUGGAAUCGYUAGUAAUCGCGGAUCAGCAUGCCGCGGUGAAUACGUUCCCGGGCCUUGUACACA
rnacentral:rRNA from 1 species